rnacentral:rRNA from 1 species
GCAGAUCUCAUCUUGAAACGAGUUUCCCUAACACAUGCAAGUCGAGGGGUAGAACACUUCGGUGUUUGAGACCGGCGCACGGGUGCGUAACGCGUAUGCAAUCUACCUUGUACAGGGGAAUAGCCCAGAGAAAUUUGGAUUAAUGCCCCAUAGUAUAUAACCUUCGCAUGUUGGUUAUAUUAAAGUUCCAACGGUACAAGAUGAGCAUGCGUCCCAUUAGUUAGUUGGUAAGGUAACGGCUUACCAAGACGAUGAUGGGUAGGGGUCCUGAGAGGGAGAUCCCCCACACUGGUACUGAGACACGGACCAGACUCCUACGGGAGGCAGCAGUGAGGAAUAUUGGUCAAUGGGCGCAAGCCUGAACCAGCCAUGCCGCGUGCAGGAAGACGGUCCUAUGGAUUGUAAACUGCUUUUAUACAGGAAGAAACAACUCUACGUGUAGAGUCUUGACGGUACUGUAGGAAUAAGGAUCGGCUAACUCCGUGCCAGCAGCCGCGGUAAUACGGAGGAUCCAAGCGUUAUCCGGAAUCAUUGGGUUUAAAGGGUCCGUAGGCGGUCUUAUAAGUCAGUGGUGAAAGCCCAUCGCUCAACGAUGGAACUGCCAUUGAUACUGUAAGACUUGAAUGCUUAGGAAGUAACUAGAAUAUGUAGUGUAGCGGUGAAAUGCUUAGAUAUUACAUGGAAUACCAAUUGCGAAGGCAGGUUACUACUAGUGGAUUGACGCUGAUGGACGAAAGCGUGGGGAGCGAACAGGAUUAGAUACCCUGGUAGUCCACGCCGUAAACGAUGGAUACUAGCUGUUGGGCGCAAGUUCAGUGGCUAAGCGAAAGUGAUAAGUAUCCCACCUGGGGAGUACGUUCGCAAGGAUGAAACUCAAAGGAAUUGAAGGGGGCCCGCACAAGCGGUGGA